rnacentral:rRNA from 1 species
UGUGGCCUACGGGGCGCAGCAGUAGGGAAUCUUCCACAAUGGACGAAAGUCUGAUGGAGCAACGCCGCGUGAGUGAAGAAGGGUUUCGGCUCGUAAAGCUCUGUUGGUAGUGAAGAAAGAUAGAGGUAGUAGCUGGCCUUUAUUUGACGGUAAUUACUUAGAAAGUCACGGCUAACUACGUGCCAGCAGCCGCGGUAAUACGUAGGUGGCAAGCGUUGUCCGGAUUUAUUGG